GAUGAACGCUGGCGGCGUGCCUAAUACAUGCCAGUCGAGCGAACAGAUAAGGAGCUUGCUCCUUUGACGUUAGCGGCGGACGGGUGAGUAACACGUGGGUAACCUACCUAUAAGACUGGGAUAACUUCGGGAAACCGGAGCUAAUACCGGAUAAUAUUUCGAACCGCAUGGUUCGAUAGUGAAAGAUGGUUUUGCUAUCACUUAUAGAUGGACCCGCGCCGUAUUAGCUAGUUGGUAAGGUAACGGCUUACCAAGGCGACGAUACGUAGCCGACCUGAGAGGGUGAUCGGCCACACUGGAACUGAGACACGGUCCAGACUCCUACGAGAGGCAGCAGUAGGGAAUCUUCCGCAAUGGGCGAAAGCCUGACGGAGCAACGCCGCGUGAGUGAUGAAGGUCUUCGGAUCGUAAAACUCUGUUAUUAGGGAAGAACAUACGUGUAAGUAACUGUGCACGUCUUGACGGUACCUAAUCAGAAAGCCACGGCUAACUACGUG
rnacentral:rRNA from 1 species